GAUGAAUGCUGGCGGCGUGCCUAACACAUGCAAGUCGAGCGGUAAGGCCCUUCGGGGUACACGAGCGGCGGACGGCUGAGUAACGCGUGGGAACAUGCCCCAAAGUGAGGGAUAAGCUCCAGAAAUGGAGUCCAAUACCGCAUAUGAUCUUCGGAUUAAAGGAUUUAUCCGCUUUGGGAGUGGCCUGCGUACGAUUAGAUAGUUGGUGAGGUAAUGGCUUACCAAGUCUACGAUCGUUAACUGGUCUGAGAGGAUGAUCAGUCAGACUGGAACUGAGACACGGUCCAGACUCCUACGGGAGGCAGCAGUGAGGAAUCUUCCACAAUGGGCGAAAGCCUGAUGGAGCAACGCCGCGUGCAGGAUGAAGGCCUUCGGGUCGUAAACUGCUUUUAUAAGUGAAGAAUAUGACGGUAACUUAUGAAUAAGCACCGGCUAACUACGUGCCAGCCGCCGCGGUA
rnacentral:rRNA from 1 species